rnacentral:misc_RNA from 1 species
UCUCCGUUGGUGAACCAGCGGAGGGAUCAUUACUGAGUCUUACAAACUCUCUAAACCCACUGUGAACAUACCUUUUGUUGCUUCGGCGGUUUGUCCCGGUGAUAUCUGCUCAAGGUGUCCCGGAUCAUGACGAUCGCCGGAGGACGUGAAAUUCUUGUCUUUAGAAUUUGGUUCCUUCUGAGUAUAAUAAUUAAAAUGAAUCAAAACUUUCAACAACGGAUCUCUUGGUUCUGGCAUCGAUGAAGAACGCAGC